rnacentral:tRNA from 1 species
AGGACUAUAGUUUAAACUUAAAACAUUUGAUUUGCAUUCAAAAAAUAUUAAUAUAUUAAUUUAUCUUG